UUUGCCAACUCUUAAUUUUUCUAAAGGAUCUUAUGACCAGAAUGCAUACUUACCUCAAGAGAGCGAUUUUGAUCAAAACAUUGUUGCAAAAAUGACAAAAAACAGCAUUUCGGCUCAUUUUUGGAGUAGCUUGCUUGCGGCGCAGGAAUUUAUGUCUUCGAUUGGUAACAUCUUUUUGGUUUUUGAAUGGUGAAUUUAACCGUUACUUGUUAUGAUAAUAACAAGCGUUUGUUCUAAUGCUUAGAAAAUAACAAAAAAACAUGCAGUGAGCUUUGACAUUGGGUCUGGUUUUUUUCAGCCCUGGAGAAAUUGAAUGGUAGAUAUACACUGUUCAUCUGCUCAGCACCUAUGACGCUGUUCCACGACUGUGUGAGAGAAAAGUACGAGUGGGUUGAGGAGCACUUGGGAUUCGAGUUCACCAAACAGAUCAUUCUUACCAGAGAUAAAACUGUAGUAUCAGGAGCAGUUCUGAUAGACGAUAAACCCAAAAUAAAAGGAUGCAUGGCUCCAUCGUGGAAACACAUUGUGUUUGAUCAGCCCUAUAAUGAAGAAUCAGAAACAGAAUUCCGAGUUAAAAACUGGGACGAAGUUGACAAGUUGUGUGAAUAUAUUGACUCUUUGUAGAGUUCAAGUUGGCUGCUUCUUCGAUUUCGAAGAAGCUCUUACUUCUAUUACUUGCACAUUGUCAUUCUUGUUCAGGGUAAAGACUAUUUUUGGUGCUUCCACUACUUUCAAAAUACCAAUCAAAUUGAACCAUGAUUGAUUAUUGCGAAAAUUAUGGUUUUUAUGUUGAACUUCAUUUCAGUCACACCGCCAAAUUAAUAUUUUUCUCUUGUAAAUUUGCAUAUGUUUUAAUGUAUAAAUCUUCACUUAUUGGAACUUGUAAGAUAGCUUUUUGGAUA